UACGUAGGGGGCAAGCGUUGUCCGGAAUCAUUGGGCGUAAAGCGCGUGUAGGCGGUCCGAUAAGUCCGCUCUGAAAGCCCGGGGCUCAACCCCGGGAGGCGGGCGGAUACUGUCGGGCUAGAGUCCGGAAGAGGCAAGUGGAAUUCCUGGUGUAGCGGUGAAAUGCGCAGAUAUCAGGAGGAACACCGGUGGCGAAGGCGGAUCUCUGGGCCUGUCCUGACGCUCAGGCGCGAAAGCUAGGGGAGCAAACAGG
rnacentral:rRNA from 1 species